UGUAUAACCCCACGCUCCUAUGAAUUAAGAGAGAGAGAAACGGAGAGAGAGAAAUAAAGAGGGAAAGAGAUGUUCGCGAUCCGACCCGAACCUUCGCGAUCGGACCCGAAUUUAUCUCCAUUUUCCAGCCACCUUACCGACCAAGGAAGGUACCAAUAGAAAGCUUGAGAACUGGCCGUCAUUUCCAUUCCGUCAUUGCCGUCGAUUAUUGGCCGGAAAGCCGUUUAUUGAAGCCGCAAAAUUUGGCGGUGAAGCCGCAUUGUUUCGCCGCUGUUCCGCUAGUUUUGGGUGAGGCGACCAGUUGGAUUUUGUUCCCCACAAUCCCCUCUGUCCUUUCCGACCAUCCACUGAGCCGGGAACUGCCCUGUCCCGGCCGGUCAGCCGUUGGAAAGUUCAUGGCUUUGGGAGCUCGAUCAGCCACCGUCGCCGCGCGUCGAUCGUCACCGCCGCCACCAUCGGACUCAGCGUGGUUGGAACUCUCAGGCUAGAGCUUCCCGACGGCCUUUGGUUGACUUUCGGUCAUCGUUGACCAGUAAGGCCAUUUCGGUAAUUUCGUAUCCGAGGGCAAUUUUAUAGUUUCACACUUUGCGGGUAUUUUAGUAAUUGUAUAAAUCAAGAAUAGGCUGGUAAUUUACGAUUUUGAGAUUAACUUGGUAAAUUAUGAUUUUGGGGGUAUUCUAAUAAUGUUAGAAUUUGAGGGUAUUUUGGUAAUUUUGUUAAAUUUGAAGGCGAUUUUAUAAUUUUUGGAUUUGUGCAUAUUUUGGUAGUUUCUGAAUUGGAGAAUAAUUAGUAAUUUAUGAAAUUGAGAAUGAUUUGGUAGUUUAUAAUUUUGGAAUUUUUAGAUUAUUUAUGUGAUUUAUGAGUUUGAGGGCAUUUCGAUGAAGGUUGGGUUAUUUGAACUCAACAAACGCCUCACUAAAUCUAUUUUUGAGAUUAAUCUUUUAUGAUUAAAAUACUCUUAAAUUAAAUUACAAUUAUGGAUAUUAAAAUAUAAUAAAAAAACAGAAUUUUAAUUUUUUCAGCCCAUUUAUACAUCAACAUAAUUUUGUUAAAUCAUAAUCUUAUUUUCAUUAAAUCCUAAUUAACUAGAGGCAUGAAUUACGAGUGGCAAUCUUUUACUUUCAAUUAUCUUCCUACGGUUUGAUGCGCAUUCAAAUGGAGCUCAUCAUCGAUCAUUGAGUCAUGUGCUCUGAUUAUAAUAUUAAUCCUUAAAUUUUCUGAAAACUUUAAUUAUCAUUAAUCAAAAGCAAAUUGUAUUUUAAUUAACGGGUUAAAUUUCUUUUCUUUUCAAUUUGGCCAUUUAGUGGAGCCGAAUUAAGCUAAGCCGCAUCACCAUUCACCAAUGGUAGCUCAGCCUCUCCGCUAACAAUAGGCAUGGCUGAUUCUCAAUUAUCUGAUUAUCAUCACAAGCUCAAGUAGCACCUACGCUAACAAAUUCAUUUUGAUUUAAUUACCAUCUCCAUCGGUGUUAAAAAAAAUAAAUGAUUUCAAUGAAGAUUUAUAAAUGAAGUUAAUGGAUUUAGCGAGUUAAAAUAUUAUUAUUAUAAAAAUUGAGUUUAGUGAGUGUAUAUUAAGUAUUUAUCCGUACUAAUAUUUUAGCAUCCUAAUGAUUUCAAUUUAUCCAAUAAAUAUACAAUUGAAUCAUCUUAUAAAAUAAGUAUCUAAUCCUACUUUGAAGUAUUAAAAAAAGAAAAAAAAAGUUGAAUUGAAGACAUAUUUGAAAAUAAAAUAAAUUUUAUUAUUUAAUAAAAUUAUAAAAAUGCAAGGGGUAUAUCCAAAAGUUUCCGGGGUCUAGCCCAGGCUUGCUGUCUUAAGCAAAAAUUCGAAUCAAAUCAAAAUUAAAUUCUUUUUCUCCUCUCAUUUUUUAGAUGGGUUUCUUUGAUAGCCAAUCGAGAUCAAAAAAAGAAAUGGCAAAGGGAGAAUGAAUACAAGUAAAAAAAAAAAAAAAGAAGAAUAAGAAUAAUAAUUUAAGUGACUAGAUUUUUUCUUUCCUUGAAAUAUUGUCAUGUCGAUAAUUUUCUCUGCUAUAAUUUAUUAAUAAAAUUUAAUCGACAUAUGCGUGAAGAAGAAGUGCAAUUUUUCAUGAGAGAUUGAAAAGUGACUAACAUGAAGUUAACUUUUUUCUUCAGUUAGUAAUUUCAGUUAGUUUUAAAAACGUUAUGUUUUUUACAUCUAAAUAAAAUAUAGAUAGGAGGACAGGGGUAGAAACUCUUACAUCAAGUGAGAAUAAGUUUUUAUGUACUAUAUAUAUAUAUAUAAGAGGAGAUUAUGGUGAUAGGUAAGAUUAAAUUUAUUAACAAAAAUUUAAAAACAUCUUAUUAAUAUAAAAUUAUAAAAAAAUAAAUAAAUACUCACCUUAGAAUUUCUUAAAUACCAUGUUUCAAAAUCUCUUAUAAAGUUUAGGAAAAAAAAAUUGAAGUUGAAAAUUUACAAAUCAUUUUCCUAAUUUGAGAAGAUAUAUAAGUUUAGUGAAACUUAAUAAGUCUUUUCCUUCUUCCUUUUCCUUAACUAGUCAGGCUUUCAUUUUCCUUGACUAGUUAGGAUAUACAUCCUUAUAUAAAGAUGCUUACAUUGAGCUCCCAAAUCCCAACUUCGCAAUAGAGUUAAUAAAUUAGAAGGUAUCGAGUUCUUGGUUUUCAGUUUUUUCUUGAAUCGUCGAUCAAAAAACUUGAUUAGCUAUGAAGCAGAAGGCAAUUGACUCCGAAGAAGGAUGGGACUAUUUGGAUCGGGGAAUCACAAAAUUGAAGAGGAUUUUCGAAGGAUUGCCGGAGCCAACGUUUAAUUUGGAGGAUUACAUGAUGCUUUACACAACCGUAUACAAUAUUUAUUCUGAGUCGACUUAUCCUCUUGACAAAAAUAGCAAACAGUUGUAUAACAAUUACAAGCAAAUACUUGAAGAUUAUAUGCCAUCAAAGGUAUUGCCAUCUUUGAGAGAGAAGCACGAUGAGUAUGAUUUGUUGAAGGAGCUUUUGAAAAGCUGGGCUAAUCAUAAAUUUUUGGUUAAAUGGCUUUCACUCGUCUUCCUUCCUCUUCAAGUUGAAUUCGCUUAUAUUACUCGAAAGAAACUUCCUAAACUUAAUGCGUUUGGACUUUCUUGCUUCCGGGAUCUGGUGUUUGAUGCUAUAAAGGACAAAGUCAAGGAUGCUGUAAUUGCUUUAAUCGAUAGAGAACGCGAGGGAGAAGAGAUUGACAGAACGUUGGUGAAGAAUGUAUUGAAUUUAUUCGUUGAGAUUGACGAGGGGAAGAUGCAUUGUUACGAAAAGGAUUUUGAAGAACAUAUGCUUCAGGAUACGGGGGCUUAUUAUUCUCGCAAGGCAUCAAAUUGGAUUCUUCAGGAUUCGAGUGAAGAUUACAUGCUCAAGGUUGGUGAAUGCUUGAAGAAAGAAAGAGGGAGAGCGUCUCAUUACCUGCAACCAAGCAGCGAGCGGAAAUUGACGGACAUACUAGAACAUGAGUUGUUGGUGGUGCGUGCAAGUCAGCUUCUUGAAGAAGGAGAAUUUGGAUGCAGACAAUUGCCUAGAGGAGAUAAGGUGGAUGAUCAUUCGAUUAUCUGCUGUGACAGCGAGAAAUCGAGGAAUGAAUUAGGCAUUGGAGAAACAUUGGAGUAGGUUCUUAGAUUGUGAUGCACACCAAGAAACCCUAAAGUUCCUAGUCAAUUUCAAGUCUAUUAAUUUUAUAAUUUCUAUUCCAUUGGAUUUUUUUUUUUUCCUUGAGCACUAAUUAAUUGGCAUUGCUGCCUUAGAUAUCGUGAUGAGUAAGCAUGCCGAUGAAUAUGUUUUAUACAUUAAUUAAAAAUUUUAGACAACCCCAUAGAUAAAGAUAGACCUAAGAACUAAUUAUGAACAAAAUAGUAAUGGGUAUAAAUUGCCUUCUCAAUAAUUAUUCGUUGCAUUGUGGUUCAUACGAAAGAAUAUGAAUAAGUUAUCAUUAUUUGUUCUUCUUUUCCUUUCUAAUUUUUUUUUUAGCGACUUCUUCAAUCCUUUCUCUCCCUAUCCCCAAUUAUUUUGAGAUUUCUCUUCACCAUUCGUUAAUUUUCCUUUUCAAUAAAUUUUGAAUGUAUUUCAUGAAUCCAAUUUGGUAAGCCAAUGUGUAUAACAAAAUCUCUCACCCCACCAACCAACCAUUUUUCUUAUUUUUCUUUCUUCAUAUAAAGUUCUUGUCUAAGAAUAGAGAAUUCACUUCCAGAUCACAAGUAUAUGGGCUUGGAAGUUGUUUUCCAGCUAAAACUUUUGGGCCAACAAUCAAGGCCUAUCAAGCAAACAACUUUUGUCCUCCUGCACUUACCUCGUUUCGUUGAUAAAGAAAAUCCCUUAAGUUGAUGAAUUUGUGCUUCGUAAUCCUAAUUGUUUGAAUUCCGUCAAGCAAUGCAACAGAACACAAAAUGUCCUUUUCACCCUUAGGAUUUAAUAUAAUACAUAUUUCAUCCCUAUAUUUUAAAUAAUAGUGUAAAGUAUUCUUUCAUUAAUUUGCCAUUAGUUUAUUAUAUUUUUUUUGCAAGCUCCAUUAGCAUACUUGGUAGUUUGCAUACAAUUUUUGACAAUUUAAUUUUUUAAAAUUAAAAAUUAAUAUAAUUUUUUUAUAUUUAGGGCUAAAUUAGUAAUUUAAUUAUUUUCUUUUUAUUAAUGUCCAAGUAAAAAAAUAAUUAUAAAUGGGCAAUAUUGUUAAAGUAAGACAAAAGAAAUAAAAAGUAACAAUAUGAAUAUCAAUACUUUAACGGCAGAGAUUUAAAAAAAUACAAGGACUAAAUAAAUAUUAAUCUUAAAAUAUAGAGACUAAAUGAUCUUUUAUCCUUUACACAACCGUAUACAAUAUUUGUUCCCAGCCGGAUCGUCUUCUUGAUGAAGAUCCCAAACAGCUGUAUGACAAGUAAAAGCAAGUACUUGAAGAUUAUAUGCCAUGAAAGGCAUUGCCAUCUUUGAGAGAGAAGCACGAUGAGUAUCAUUUGUUGAGGGAGCUUUUGAAAAGCUGGGCUAAUAAUGAAAUUUUGGUUAAAUGGCUUUCACGCGUCUUCCUUCCUCUUCAGGUAGGUUAUAUUCCUCGAAGGAAACUUCCUAAACUUAAUGCGAUUUUAAAGGAAAUAAAUGAUGAAAUUAUGAAAAUAUUGUUAAUUGUUAUUAUAUCAUUGAGUAAUAAUAAGAAUCUUAAUAUUAAAGUUUUAAUUUGCGUUCUAAAGUUCAUUUUAAAUUAGUUUAGGAGGUUUAAAAGUGAUUUUAAAAAUUUAAAAAUUAAUUUUAAUAUUUCAUAAAAAAAUUAAAAUUAUUUUUUAUCAAAAUCAGUCCAUAUGAUUUUAAAUUUAAAUUUAAAUUUAGAGAAUUAAUUUUAUAUUUUAAUACAAUUUUAAUUUUAUCCUCUACCAUUAUACUUUGAGUAAUGAUACAACCACAAACUCUUGUACAAAUUUAUUUUAUACAAACUGAUGUGGCAUGAUAAGAUUGAUUGAAUUAAAAAUCACUUGGCCCACAUGAUUUGUUUUUAUUAUUUUAUAUUUUCAUUCAACCAAUGAAUUAAUGACACGUCAGUUUAUACAAAAUAAAUUUAUAUAAAAAUUUAUAGCUGUAUCAUUACUCUUAUACUUUAGUUAAAAUAAUGUGUUUCGUAUUGCACCCAAUGACAAUGUCAUUAUUGUUGACAUACUCUUUUUUUUUUAAAUAGACCAAACCAUUUUUUUUUUUUUCUGUGUAUUACCCCACGCCCCUAUGAAUUAAGAGAGAGAGAAACGAAGAGAGAGAAAGAAAGAGGGAAAGAGAUGGGAGCGAUCCGACCCGAACCUUCGCGAUCGGACCCGAAUUUAUCUCCAUUUUCCAGCCACCUUACCGACCAAGGAAGGUACCAAUAGAAAGCUUGAGAACUGGCCGUCAUUUCCAUUACGUCAUCGCCGUCGAUUAUUGGCCGGAAAGCCGUUUAUUGAAGCCGCAAAAUUUUGCGGUGAAGCCGCAUUGUUUCGCCGCUGUUCCGCCAGUUUUGGGUGAGGCGACCAGUUGGAUUUUGUUCCCCACAAUCCCCUCUGUCCUUUCCGACCAUCCACUGAGCCGGGAACUGCCCUGUCCCGGCCGGUCAGCCGUUGGAAAGUUCAUGGCUUUGGGAGCUCGAUCAGCCACCGUCGCCGCGCGUCGAUCGUCACCGCCGCCACCAUCGGACUCAGCGUGGUUGGAACUCUCAGGCUAGAGCUUCCCGACCGCAUUUGGUUGGCUUUCGGUCACCUUUGACCAGCAAGGCCAUUUCGGUAAUUUCGUAUCCGAGGGCAAUUUUAUAAUUUCAUACUUUGCGGGUAUUUUAGUAAUUGUAUAAAUUGAGAAUAGGCUGGUAAUUUACGAUUUUGAGAUUAACUUGGUAAAUUAUGAUUUUGGGGGUAUUCUAAUAAUGUUAGAAUUUGAGGGUAUUUUGGUAAUUUUGUUAAAUUUGAGGCGAUUUUAUAAUUUUUGAAUUUGUGCAUAUUUUGGUAGUUUCUGAAUUGGAGAAUAAUUAGUAAUUUAUGAAAUUGAGAAUGAUUUGGUAGUUUAUAAUUUUGGAAUUUUUAGAUUAUUUAUGUGAUUUAUGAGUUUGUGGGCAUUUCGAUGAAGGUUGUGUUAUUUGAACUCAACAAACGGCUCACUAAAUUUAUUUUUGAGAUUAAUUUUUUAUAAUUAAAAUAUUUUUAAAUUAAAUUACAAUUAUGGAUAUUAAAAUAUAAUAUAAAAAAACAGAAUUUUAAUUUUUUCAGCCCAUCUAUACAUCAACAUAAUUUUGUUAAAUCAUAAUCUUAUUUUCAUUAAAUCCUAAUUAACUAGAGGCAUGAAUUACGAGUGGCAAUCUUUUACUUUCAAUUAUCUUCCUACGGUUUGAUGCGCAUUCAAAUGGAGCUCAUCAUCGAUCAUUGAGUCAUGUGCUCUGAUUAUAAUAUUAAUCCUUAAAUUUUCUGAAAACUUUAAUUAUCAUUAAUCAAAAGCAAAUUUGAUUUUAAACAACGGGUUAAAUUUCUUUUCUUUUCAAUUUGGCCAUUUAGUGGAGCCGAAUUAAGCUAAGCCGCAUCACCAUUCACCAAUGGUAGCUCAGCCUCUCCGCUAACAAUAGGCAUGGCUGAUUCUCAAUUAUCUGAUUAUCAUCACAAGCUCAAGUAGCACCUACGCUAACAAAUUCAUUUUGAUUUAAUUACCAUCUCCAUCGGUGUUAAAAAAAAUAACUGAUUUCAUUGAAGAUUUAUAAAUGAAUUUAAUGGAUUUAGCGAGUAAAAAUAUUAUUAUUAUAAAAAUUGAGUUUAGUAAGUGUAUAUUAAAUAUUUAUCCGUACUAAUAUUUUAGCAUCCUAAUGAUUUCAAUUUAUCCAAUAAAUAUACAAUUGAAUCAUCUUAUAAAAUAAGUAUCUAAUCCUACUUUGAAGUAUUAAAAAAAGAAAAAAAAAGUUGAAUUGAGGACAUAUUUUAAAAUAAAAUAAAAUUUAUUAUUUAAUAAAAUUUUAAAAAUGCAAGGGGUAUAUCCAAAAGUUUCCGGGGUCUAGCCCAGGCUUGCUGUCUUAAGCAAAAAUUCGAAUCAAAUCAAAAUUAAAUUCUUUUUCUCCUCUCAUUUUAUAGCUAAAUUUCGAUAAUUGGAAAACUAGACUAACGACACAAAGUCUUGAAAACAAAAUGGUUUGAUGGGUUUCUUUGAUAGCCAAUCGAGAUCAAAAAAGAAAUGGCAAAGGGAGAAUGAAUACAAGUAAAAAAAAAAAAGAAGAAUAAGAAUAAUAAUUUAAGUGACUAGAUUUUUUCUUUCCUUGAAAUAUUGUCAUGUCGAUAAUUUUCUCUGCUAUAAUUUAUUAAUAAAAUUUAAUCGACAUAUGCGUGAAGAAGAAGUGCAGUUUUUCAUGAGAGAUUGAAAAGUGACUAACAUGAAGUUAACUUUUUUCUUCAGUUAGUAAUUUCAGUUAGUUUUAAAAACGUUAUGUUUUUGACAUCUAAAUAAAAUAUAGAUAGGAGGACAGGAGUAGAAACUCUUACAUCAAGUGAGAAUAAGUUUUUAUGUACUAUAUAUAUAUAAGAGAGAUUAUGGUGAUAGGUAAGAUUAAAUUUAUUAACAAAAAUUUAAAAACAUCUUAUUAAUAUAAAAUUAUAAAAAAAUUAAAUACUCACCUUAGAAUUUCUUAAAUACCAUGUUUCAAAAUCUCUUACAAAGUUAAGAAAAAAAAAAUUGAAGUUGAAAAUUUACAAAUCUUUUUCCUAAUUUGAGAAGAUAUAUAAGUUUAGUGAAACUUAAUAAGUCUUUUCCUUGACUAAUUAGGCUUUCCUUUUCCUUAACUAGUUAGGAUAUACAUCCUUAUAUAAAGACGCUUACAUUAAGCUCUCAAAUCCCAACUUCGCAAUAGAGUUAAUAAAUUGGAAGGAAUCGAGUUCUUGGUUUUCAGUUUUUUCUUGAAUCGUCGAUCGAAAAACUUGAUUAGCAAUGAAGCGCAAGGCAUGUGACUCCGAAGAAGGAUGGGACUAUUUGGAGCGGGGAAUCACAAAAUUGAAGAGGAUUUUCGAAGGAUUGCCAGAGCCAGCGUUUAAUUUGGAGGAUUACAUGAUGCUUUACACAACCGUAUACAAUAUUAACUCCCAGCGGACUUAUCCUCUUGACAAAAAUAGCAAACAAUUGUAUAACAAUUACAAGCAAGUACUUGAAGAUUAUAUGCCAUCAAAGGUAUUGCCAUCUUUGAGAGAGAAGCACGAUGAGUAUGAUUUGUUGAGGGAGCUUUUGAAAAGCUGGGCUAAUCAUAAAUUUUUGGUUAAAUGGCUUUCACUCGUCUUCCUUCCUCUUCAAGGUGAAGGCGCUUAUAUUACUCGAAAGAAACUUCCUAAACUUAAUGCGUUUGGACUUUCUUGCUUCCGGGAUCUGGUGUUUGAAGCUAUAAAGGACAAAGUCAAGGAUGCUGUAAUUGCUUUAAUCGAUAGAGAACGCGAGGGAGAAGAGAUUGACAGAACGUUGGUGAAGAAUGUAUUGAAUUUAUUCGUUGAGAUUGACAAGGGGAAGAUGCAUUGUUACGAAAAGGAUUUUGAAGAACAUAUGCUUCAGGAUACGGGGGCUUAUUAUUCUCGCAAGGCAUCAAAUUGGAUUCUUCAGGAUUCGAGUGAAGAUUACAUGCUCAAGGUUGGUGAAUGCUUGAAGAAAGAAAGAGGGAGAGCGUCUCAUUACCUGCAACCAAGCAGCGAGCGGAAAUUGACGGACAUACUAGAACAUGAGUUGUUGGUGGUGCGUGCAAGUCAGCUUCUUGAAGAUGGAGAAUUUGGAUGCAGACAAUUGCCUAGAGGAGAUAAGGUGGAUGAUCAUUCGAUUAUCUGCUGUGACAGCGAGAAAUCGAGGAAUGAAUUAGGCAUUGGAGAAACAUUGGAGUAGGUUCUUAGGUUGUGAUGCACACUACGAAACCCUAAAGUUCCUAGUCAAUUUCAAGUCUAUUAAUUUUAUAAUUUCUAUUCCAUUGGAUUUUUUUUUCCUGAAGCACUAAUUAAUUGGCAUUGCUGCCAUAGAUAUCGUGAUGAGUACGCGUACCGAUGAAUAUGUUUUAUACAUUAAUUAAAAAUUUUAGACAACCCUAUAGAUAAAGAUAGACCUAAGAACUAAUUAUGAACAAAAUAGUAAUGGGUAGAAAUUGUCUUCUUGACAAUUAUUCGUUGCAUUGCGGUUCAUACGAAAGAACAUGAAAAAUUAUCAUUAUUUGUUCUUCUUUUCCUUUCUAAUUUUUUUUUUUAGCGACUUCUUCAAUCCUUUCUCUCGCUAUCCCCAAUUAUUUUGAGAUUUCUCUUCACCAUUCGUUAAUUUUACUUUUCAAUAAAUUUUGAAUGUAUUUCAUGAAUCCAAUUUGGUAAGCCAAUGUGUAUAACAAAAUCUCUCACCCCACCAACCAACCAUUUUUCUUAUUUUUCUUUCUGCAUAUAAAGUUCUUGUCUAAGAAUAGAGAAUUCACUUCCCAGAUCACAAGAAUAUGGGCUUGGAAGUUAUUUACCAGCUAAAACUUUUGGGCCAACAAUCAAGGCCUAUCAAGCAAACAACUUUUGUCCUCCUGCACUUACCUCGUUUCGUUGAUAAAGAAAAUCCCUUAAGUUGAUGAAUUUGUGCUUCGUAAUCCUAAUUGUUUGAAUUCCGUCAAGCAAAGCAACAGAACAGAAAAUGUCCUUUUCACCCUUAGGAUUUAAUAUGAUACAUAUUUCAUCCCUAUAUUUUAAAUAAUAGUGUAAAGUAUUGUUCCGUUAAUUUGCCAUUAGUUUAUUAUAAUUUUUUUGCAAGCUCCAUUUGCAUACUUGGUAGUUUGCAUACAAUUUUUGACAAUUUAAUUUUUAAAAAUUAAAAAUUAAUAUAAAUUUUUUAUUUUUAUUUUUAGGGCUAAAUUAGUAAUUUAAUUAUUUUCUUUUUAUUAAUGUCCAAGCAAAAAAAUUAUUAUAAAAGGACAAUAUUGUUAAAGUAAGACAAAAGAAAUAAAAAGUAACAGUGUGAAUAUCAAUACUUUAAGGGUAAAGAUUUUAAAAAAUAUAAGGAUUAAAUAAAUAUUAAUCUUAAAAUAUAGAGACUAAAUGAUCUUUUAUCUUUUACACAACCGUAUACAAUAUUUGUUCUCAGUCGGCUCGUCCUCUUGAUGAAGAUCCUAAACAGCUGUAUGACAAGUAAAAGCAAGUACUUCAAGAUUAUAUGCCAUGAAAGGCAUUGCCAUACUUGAGAGAGAAGCACGAUGAGUAUCAUUUGUUGAGGGAGCUUUUGAAAAAUUGGGCUAAUCAUGAAUUUUUGGUUAAAUGGCUUUCACGCGUCUUCCUUCCUCUUCAAUUCGGUUAUAUUCCUCGAAGGAAACUUUCUGAACUUAAUGCGAUUGUAAAGGAAAUAAAUCAUGAAAUUACGAAAAUAUUGUUAAUUGUUAUUAUAUCAUUGAGUAAUAAUAAGAAUCUUAAUAUUCAAAUUUUAAUUUGAGUUCUAAGGUUCAUUUUAAAUUAUUUUAUCAGGUUUACAAAUAAUUUUAAAAAUUUAAAAAUUAAUUUUAAUAUUUAAUAAAAAAUUAAAAUUAUUUUUUAUCAAAAUCAGCCCAGAUACUUUUAAAUUUAAAUUUAGAGAAUUAAUUUUAUAUUUUAAUACAAUAUUAAUUGUAUCCUCUACCAUUGUACUUUAGUUAAAAUAAUGUAUUUCGUAUUGCACCCAAUGACCAUGUCAUAAUUGUUGACAUACUUUUUUUUUUAAAAAUAAACCAAACCAUAAUUUUUUUUUCAUAUGUAUUACCCCACACCCCUAUGAAUUAAGAGAGAGAGAAAUGAAGAGAGAGAAAGAAAGAGGGAAAGAGAUGGGAGUGAUCCGACCCGAACCUGCGCGAUCCGACCCGAAUUUAUCUCCAUUUUCCGGCCACCUUACCGACCAAGGAAGGUGCCAGUAGAAAGCUUGAGAACUGACCGUCAUUUCCAUUCCGUCAUUGCCGUCGAUUAUUGGCCGGAAAGCCGCUUAUUGAAGCCGCAUUGUUUCACCGCUAUUUUGCCAGUUUUGGGUGAGGCCACCAGUUGGAUUUUGUUCCCCACAAUCCCCUCUGUCCUUUUCGACCAUCCACUGAACCGGGAACUGCCCUUUCCCGGCCGGUCAGCCGUUGGAAAGUUCAUGGCUUUGGGAGCUCGAUCAGCCACCGUCGCCGCGCGUCGAUCGUCACCGCCGCUACCAUCGGACUCAGCGUGGUUGGAACUCUCAGGCUAGAGCUUCCCGACCGCCUUUGGUUGACUUUGGGUCACCGUUGACCAGCAAGGCCAUUUCGGUAAUUUCGUAUUCGAGGGCAAUUUUGUAAUUUCACACUUUGCGGGUAUUUUAGUAAUUGUAUAAAUUGAGAAUAGGCUGGUAAUUUACUAUUUUGAGGUUAACUUGGUAAAUUAU
rnacentral:lncRNA from 1 species